UAUAUCAAAGAUGGCGACCUCAAGAACGGCGGCGCGAAUUCACCUGCCAAAUCUUGAUUAAAGGAAAGCAGGAGUUUGGGGUGCAGCAAAUGGACCACGAAACGGACGAGAACGAUUCCAGUGGAAGAUUGGACCCGAAACCUUCAGAUGAAACACCGUUAAUAAUGUAUAUACGAUACUAGUGUCUCUAAGUGUGGCGCUGCUCGCACGUGUGACUUCAGAUGUGAAAGAGACAGGUCUCCACAGAAGUAAAAUGCACUGUGAGAAAAAGGAAAGAAAGAACCAGAUACCUCAGAUGAAGAUCUAAUAAGAAGGAUGUUGAGGGUCCCUUGGUUCUUCAGCUCCAGCUCCAGUUAAAGUGGGGGAAAAGAAGAGGCCUCCUGCUUUCUUUGACAUAGGCUGUAGAACCUAUUAUGGGAUGAAGCAGGAGAUACAAAUGGUUCAUUCUGAAGUACAUAGAUACAUGAAGAUGAACAUGAUAGCCAUGAUCAGCCAUUUAAACAUGUCCACUGUAGUAUAAAAUGAAUUCAGACAAGAUUGUAGGAAUAACCCACACAUCAUAAGCUUCAGCUUCAGGAUUAGUGGAACUGAUUUGUUUUAGAAAAGAGACUGGUCUAUGCCUCUAGAAAUUGGUAGCAUAUUUAGUACAGUAGAGAAAAAAUAAUUAGUCACUUGAUUGCACUAUUAAAGACCGCAAAAUGUUUUUGUUUUUUAUUUUUUUAAUAAAGAAUUUAUAAAAACAAUCAGAAUCUGAAAAACUGCUAUUUUUUUUCUCUUUUGG